rnacentral:rRNA from 1 species
AGAGUUUGAUCCUGGCUCAGGACGAACGCUGGCGGCGUGCUUAACACAUGCAAGUCGAACGGAAAGGCCCUGCUUUUGUGGGGUGCUCGAGUGGCGAACGGGUGAGUAACACGUGAGUAACCUGCCCUUGACUUUGGGAUAACUUCAGGAAACUGGGGCUAAUACCGGAUAGGAGCUCCUGCUGCAUGGUGGGGGUUGGAAAGUUUCGGCGGUUGGGGAUGGACUCGCGGCUUAUCAGCUUGUUGGUGGGGUAGUGGCUUACCAAGGCUUUGACGGGUAGCCGGCCUGAGAGGGUGACCGGCCACAUUGGGACUGAGAUACGGCCCAGACUCCUACGGGAGGCAGCAGUGGGGAAUAUUGCACAAUGGGCGGAAGCCUGAUGCAGCAACGCCGCGUGCGGGAUGACGGCCUUCGGGUUGUAAACCGCUUUCGCCUGUGACGAAGCGUGAGUGACGGUAAUGGGUAAAGAAGCACCGGCUAACUACGUGCCAGCAGCCGCGGUAAUACGUAGGGUGCGAGCGUUGUCCGGAUUUAUUGGGCGUAAAGGGCUCGUAGGUGGUUGAUCGCGUCGGAAGUGUAAUCUUGGGGCUUAACCCUGAGCGUGCUUUCGAUACGGGUUGACUUGAGGAAGGUAGGGGAGAAUGGAAUUCCUGGUGGAGCGGUGGAAUGCGCAGAUAUCAGGAGGAACACCAGUGGCGAAGGCGGUUCUCUGGGCCUUUCCUGACGCUGAGGAGCGAAAGCGUGGGGAGCGAACAGGCUUAGAUACCCUGGUAGUCCACGCUGUAAACGGUGGGUACUAGGUGUGGGGUCCAUUCCACGGGUUCCGUGCCGUAGCUAACGCUUUAAGUACCCCGCCUGGGGAGUACGGCCGCAAGGCUAAAACUCAAAGGAAUUGACGGGGCCCCGCACAAGCGGCGGAGCAUGCGGAUUAAUUCGAUGCAACGCGUAGAACCUUACCUGGGUUUGACAUGGAUCGGGAGUGCUCAGAGAUGGGUGUGCCUCUUUUGGGGUCGGUUCACAGGUGGUGCAUGGCUGUCGUCAGCUCGUGUCGUGAGAUGUUGGGUUAAGUCCCGCAACGAGCGCAACC